rnacentral:rRNA from 1 species
GUGCCAGCCGCCGCGGUAAGACGAACCGUCCAAACGUUAUUCGGAAUCACUGGGCUUAAAGGGUGCGUAGGCGGCGCGGGAAGUUGGGUGUGAAAGCCCUCGGCUCAACCGAGGAAUUGCGCCCAAAACUGCCGUGCUUGAGGGAGAUAUAGGUGAGCGGAACUUAGGGUGGAGCGGUGAAAUGCGUUGAGAUCCUAAGGAACACCAGUAGCGAAAGCGGCUCACUGGGUCUCUUCUGACGCUGAUGCACGAAAGCUAGGGGAGCGAAGAGGAUUAGAUACCCCCGUAGUCC